rnacentral:rRNA from 1 species
GACGAAGGGGGCUAGCGUUGUUCGGAAUUACUGGGCGUAAAGCGUGCGCAGGCGGUUCUUUAAGUCAGAUGUGAAAUCCCCGGGCUCAACCUGGGAAUUGCAUUUGUGACUGUAGAGCUAGAGUACGGUAGAGGGGGAUGGAAUUCCGCGUGUAGCAGUGAAAUGCGUAGAUAUGCGGAGGAACACCGAUGGCGAAGGCAAUCCCCUGGACCUGUACUGACGCUCAUGCACGAAAGCGUGGGGAGCAAACAGG